CAUCAGGUAACAUCAAAUCGUACCCCAAACCGACACAGGUGGUCAGGUAGAGAAUACCAAGGCGCUUGAGAGAACUCGGGUGAAGGAACUAGGCAAAAUGGUGCCGUAACUUCGGGAGAAGGCACGCUGAUAUGUAGGUGAAGUCCCUCGCGGAUGGAGCUGAAAUCAGUCGAAGAUACCAGCUGGCUGCAACUGUUUAUUAAAAACACAGCACUGUGCAAACACGAAAGUGGACGUAUACGGUGUGACGCCUGCCCGGUGCCGGAAGGUUAAUUGAUGGGGUCAGCGCAAGCGAAGCUCUUGAUCGAAGCCCCGGUAAACGGCGGCCGUAACUAUAACGGUCCUAAGGUAGCGAAAUUCCUUGUCGGGUAAGUUCCGACCUGCACGAAUGGCGUAAUGAUGGCCAGGCUGUCUCCACCCGAGACUCAGUGAAAUUGAACUCGCUGUGAAGAUGCAGUGUACCCGCGGCAAGACGGAAAGACCCCGUGAACCUUUACUAUAGCUUGACACUGAACAUUGAGCCUUGAUGUGUAGGAUAGGUGGGAGGCUUUGAAGUGUGGACGCCAGUCUGCAUGGAGCCGACCUUGAAAUACCACCCUUUAAUGUUUGAUGUUCUAACGUUGACCCGUGAUCCGGGUUGCGGACAGUGUCUGGUGGGUAGUUUGACUGGGGCGGUCUCCUCCUAAAGAGUAACGGAGGAGCACGAAGGUUGGCUAAUCCUGGUCGGACAUCAGGAGGUUAGUGCAAUGGCAUAAGCCAGCUUGACUGCGAGCGUGACGGCGCGAGCAGGUGCGAAAGCAGGUCAUAGUGAUCCGGUGGUUCUGAAUGGAAGGGCCAUCGCUCAACGGAUAAAAGGUACUCCGGGGAUAACAGGCUGAUACCGCCCAAGAGUUCAUAUCGACGGCGGUGUUUGGCACCUCGAUGUCGGCUCAUCACAUCCUGGGGCUGAAGUAGGUCCCAAGGGUAUGGCUGUUCGCCAUUUAAAGUGGUACGCGAGCUGGGUUUAGAACGUCGUGAGACAGUUCGGUCCCUAUCUGCCGUGGGCGCUGGAGAACUGAGGGGGGCUGCUCCUAGUACGAGAGGACCGGAGUGGACGCAUCACUGGUGUUCGGGUUGUCAUGCCAAUGGCACUGCCCGGUAGCUAAAUGCGGAAGAGAUAAGUGCUGAAAGCAUCUAAGCACGAAACUUGCCCCGAGAUGAGUUCUCCCUGACUCCUUGAGAGUCCUGAAGGAACGUUGAAGACGACGACGUUGAUAGGCCGGGUGUGUAAGCGCAGCGAUGCGUUGAGCUAACCGGUACUAAUGAACCGUGAGGCUUAACCUUACAACGCCGAAG
rnacentral:rRNA from 1 species